CUAAGCGGAGGAAAAGAAACUAACCAGGAUUCCCCCAGUAACGGCGAGUGAAGCGGGAGGAGCUCACGUUGUAAAUCUGCCUUCGGGCCGAAUUGUAGUCUGUAGAGGCGAGGCCAGCCGCGGCCGGGGGCGAAGUCUCUUGGAAAAGAGCAUCAAGGAGGGUGACAAUCCCGUUCUUGCCCCCACGCCGUGCGCGUACGGUCCGUUUUCUAAGAGUCGAGUUGCUUGGGAUUGCAGCUCAAAGCGGGUGGUAAAUUCCAUCUAAAGCUAAACACGGGUGGGAGACCGAUAGCGAACAAGUACCGUGAGGGAAAGAUGCAAAGAACUUUGAAAAGAGAGUUAAAGAGUGCCUGAAAUUGCUGAAAGGGAAGCGAAGGAAACCAGUGUCUGGCGUCGAAGCUUUCCCACCGCCCCUCGGGGCUGCGGGUCGCGUCUUCGCCGUGGCCAGGGCCGGGUACGGUUGCGGGAGCCUGCGCCGCGGGAGGUAGCCUUCCCUCGGGAAGGUGAAUGCCGCGGCGUGUCGUCGCGACUGUGGCCGGCUCUGACGAAAUGGUUUUCUUUAC
rnacentral:rRNA from 1 species